rnacentral:siRNA from 1 species
CACCUACGCUCCGUGCUGCACC